CUGGACAGGGUAGAGACAGUACUGCCUUCUGCACAGUCUGACUUCCACUGGUUAGAUUGGAAGAGGAGCUUUGUGUGAAAUUUCCUAGAGUCGACGUGGCUUUAAUGUAAGCAAGUUAUGGAACAGCUGUUUAUCAGGUGAAAAAAUACCAGGUGUAUACCAUUCACAUCUCAAAAAACACCACCACAGUUGGCAGUGCUUGGCACUCUGGAGGCCAGUGACUCACAAGGCAUGGAGAAGGAACUGCCUUCUCAUUGAGGGCGAAGUGGCAAGGAGGCAGGUCUGAGGUUCAACACUUGAGUAAAAGACAGCAGCUCGCUACCCUCUCUGUUUUCGAAGGCAAUCAAACUCUGAUCCACAGAAUUCCUGAUCUUGAAGAUACACACUGGGUAAUAUAAUAAGAUGAACAUUUUUUAAUGGAGAUGAAAAUGAUCUAUCUACUAACAAGACCCAAAGCUG